rnacentral:lncRNA from 1 species
UUUUUUUUUUUUGUCUUUUUGCCUUUUCUAGGGCCGCUGCCAUGGCACAUGGAGGUUCCCAGGCUAGGGGUCGAAUCGGAGCUGUAGACGCCAGCCUACACCAGAGCCACAGCAAUGCCAGAUCCGAGCCGUGUCUGCGACCCACACCACAGCUCACGGCCACGCCGGAUCCUUAACCCACGGAGCGAGGCCAGGGAUGGAACCCGCAACCCCAUGGUUCCUAGUCGGAUUCGUUAACCACUGCGCCGCAACGGGAACUCCUAACGUUUUGAGCUGUAAGCCAUCACGCCAUCAAGGUGUUAAAAAAAUAAGUUUAAUGCAGGUGGCUCAUUCCAUAAAGGACUUCACAGGCACUCGCGGCAGGGAGCAGCUCUGCAUCUGCGCCGCCGAGGCCCCGACGCCCAGCCCUGCGCCCACGCCCCCGCGGGCAGCCUCGGCGGGCCCGGGUAACGGCCGCCAGUGAACACAAGACGAAGCUUUUCGGGAACAGCGUGAUCCAGUGCAAAUGACUCUCUGCAGCCCUGAGAAGAGGGUCCGCGCGGGCCGGCUCCUGGCCCGCCACCCACGCAGGUCAGGCGGACUCGCUCCCUCUGCCUGCAGGAGCUGCCCGGACCGCGCGUGGCCGCGUCAGCCCGAAGCUGGCUACGGAGUCAAGGGCUUGGCGCACAGCCGAGUACUUUUCUGCUCUCUACCUGAUUCGGGUUUGCCUCGCGGGGGGCACAUAAUGGUCCUGCCAGCUGCCCCUGGCCGCUGGGCUGGCAGGCCAGGCAGGGCUGCAGGGGCCACCGCCCGUGCCCAGGGGUUGUGGGGACAAUUUGAGGUGUCACCCUCAAUUUGGGGCCCUGAGUCCUGCCUCUGGCUGGUGCCCCAGCGUAGUUACUCAGUCCCUCUCACUUGCCCGCGACGCCCCACUGGACAGAGGCCAGGGGGAGGGUCUGGGCAAGCACCAGCCUCCGGCGUGUUCUCUCCACAAGCAGAAGCCCUCUGGGCCACUUGCUCUUUUCCGGCCCACGUUCAACUUGCUUUUUUUUGCUUUUUUAGGGCCGCACGUGCAGCAUAUGGAAGUUCCCAGGCUAGGGGUCGAACUGGAGCUGGCCUACACCCACCCCAGCCACAGCAACGCAGGAUCCAAGCCUCCUCUGCAACCUGCACCACUGCUCACGGCCAACACCAGAUCCCUAACCCACUGAGCAAGGCCAGGGAUUGAACCUGCGUCCUCAUGGACACUAGUGGGGUUUGUUAACCACUGAGCCUCCGCAGGAACGCCCUCAUUCCAUUCUAACAGCUGCCGAGGCAGGAACAAGGGCGGCCGAGCCCCUCGCUGGGAGGUCCAGCCUGGUGCCCUCGGGCCACCUCUGACAUCUGCUUCCGACAAGCACGUCUCCAUCCUGGACACUCCCUCAGGGGAUGGGAUGGAAAGCCCCCCAAAGCCAGAAAAAGACAGAGCCGCCUCCCCAGAAACGGACGCUUGACGAGAUGACAGCACCUGGCUGGCACUCUCAACAGGCCCACCCAGGAGGGCGACAGGUGGGCCCUGGGACCCGCCACCCAGGAGGGAGACAGGUGGACCCUGGGCCCCACACUCCUCUGGGUUGACCCUGAUCUGGGAACCUGCCAGGCAAACCGAGGUGACCCUGAAGCCCAGCCUGGGACUCAGGACCAGCGCCUCACAGAGUGACAGAUGGCGGAGGGCCUGCGGGCUAGGCCAGGGCUCGGGUGGCCCGGGGCAGAGUGAAGAGCUUGGUGGCAGUGCGGUGCGUCUGCUGGUGGAGCCUGACGCUUCCCUAAGGCUGGGCCAGGAGCAGUCACACCCCUCCCGAGAAGUGCGCCUGGGCAGCCCCUCUCCCAGGGAACUCCAGAGGCGAUGCCAGUGUCCUGGAUUGGGGACAGGGACACAGGCUCCCCAAGUGCAGACCGGACCCCCCGCCCCCAGCUCCCACCCUGGCACAGCUCGGCAAAGUGCAGCCUGGAACCACAAGCAGGUGGCCGGAGGUCCUGCCCCGAAAGCACGCACAGAAAGGAGGGCAGGUGCCAAGGUCCCUUCACAGAAAGCCUCAGCCCUCUCCUCUCCCAGGUCAGGCACCCAGGUGGUGUCUGUGGGCAAGGGCGGACCGGGCCCGGCCUCCCAGGUCUCAAGAAAAGAACCUGCAGCAGGUGCAUGCACCCGGGGCUCCCAGCAGAGCCCCCCCAGGGCGAGGUGGCCGGGCCCUCACAUGUCCACGAAGACCAUGAAACACCAGCCCAGGCCGCCCACCAGCAGCAUGGUCACGUGGAUGCCGUAGAUGAGCAGCUCGUUCAGGAGGCGGAAGUCCACGCGCCGGCGGCCCAGCAGCAGCAGCAGCAGCGACAACUUGAGCUGGAAGCGCAGCAGGACGCGCACGCCCAGGUACUGCAGGCAGAAGAGGGCGGCCAGCGCGCCCCACAGCGCGGCGGUGAAGAGGCUGCAGCUGAAGUAGAGCAGGAAGCGGAUGAAGCCGUAGAGCCAGCGCGCCCGCACGUAGACGUCGAAGUUGUUGUACUUGGUGCGGGCCAGGCGCGAGGCGCGCGCGGGCCCGCAGGCCGCGUGCAGGCAGGUGGUGUGCGGGCCGUGGAAGGAGCGCACCCGCCGGGGGAUCGGCAUGACCGGCAUCGGGCCGGGCGGCGGCGCAGGCUCGCAGCGGCGGCGUCCGGGUGGCGGUCAGCAUAGGCGUCAUGAGCGCCCGGGCCCCGGGGUCCGAGGCCGAGCGCCGGGGGAGGCGUGGGCCUGCAGGGAGAGCGACAGGGGGAGGAGCCGGGUCAGCGCGGGCCACCAGCCAGCCGGGGGCUGCGGGGACACUGAGUCAGAGACGUGGGACCUGCUUACAUCCCCCCAGGGUUAGUCUUUUUUUAACGAAUGCUGAGGACACGCCAAAGAGCAACACGGCAUGAAAGGCCGGUAGAAACCCUGGCUAAGCUCCCCCCCCACCCCCCAGGCUUGGCGGGAGUCCCCUUCCCUGGACUCACCGUCUGGCUCUUAUCUGGGAUGCCCAUUCCUGCCUGCACUUCUGUGGCUGCUUUAUCCAGGGCGAAUCAGUCCCUGAGUGGCAGCCACCACAGGACUGGUGGAGGGAGAGGGUGCCCACAGGGUAGACAGCCAUUCUCUUGAGCAACUUGACAGGCCAAGUGCUGGGAACCCGGCAGCAGGUACAGGGCUCUGGGCUCCCCUGCGGAGCCCGAACCCUCGUGCUGUCCUUUACCUGGAGGGACCUCGGGCAGGUCACCUCACCCCGGAAACCCUCCCUGCUCUGCAGAACCGGGACGUGGACAGUGCUGGACUCCCAGGGGUGCUGUAGGAAGCAGGCAUAACAGGGCAGGGGCUGCCUGUGCCUGGCAGAAAGGGUGACUGCCCACGGCCAGGGGUGUCAUCACAGGGCAUGGAGCCCAAUGGACUGGGCCACCCCAGGAAAGGAGAAAUAGCAAGUGGCUCCCUGGUUUGGCCUAGGAACCGCCAUUUAUAGCGUGCCGAAAUCGUGGAGAGAGAAACACAGAACGGCAAGUACAGAACCGAUGCGUAAAAACCUAGCAGCGAAGUUGGUUACGGGCUCGGGGAGGCACUGUCCAGGGCAUCUGCCUCCACCACAAGGCCUUCAGCCUGGAGGCCUGCACAGGGGCUCCUGCUAGCUUCCUUUCCGCCACGGGUCAGGGCAAAGGGCCGCCCACGUGCUGCUCUGGCCAGAGGCGGAAGAGCCGGAAGCCGGGCACGUCCACCCUCCCCUACCCGCAGGCCCAGCCCUCCCCACAGGCUUCGGCCAGACCCGGUCUGACAGCAGCCAAUGGCUUUCCGGCGUUAGUGCUCCCUUCACGGUUCGGGGUCGCGGCUGGGGGCGGGCCGCUCGCCAUCCUCCCAUCACUUGGUCGCAAGCAACCCGUCUGCGCCACGGGCUUCCAGGUUGGAGUCCGGGCGCCCGCCUCUGGGGGCUGCCAGGCCCCGGAUCCUGGAGGCAGGCAGGGCCGACGCGCAGCGCCCCCGGGAGCCGCCUGCGCCCCGCCCGGGCACCCCCGCCCGCUCACCGGGUGCCCUCUCCGCGCCGGCGUCCCGAGCCGCGCGGCCGCCUGUCCCUCGGGGCUCCGGGAGCAGGGCGGCCGCAUGGUGCCGACGGCGCGGCCCGGACCCUCAAGCGUCCCCGCUCGGGGCUGCCCCGAAGGGCCAGGGGCUCCCGCGCCCGGCGCCCGGCGGCGUUUGGCCCAGCGUGGGAGCCGUAGAAACGUCCCUCUGCGGCCACCGUAGGACUUUCCUCACGCCCCUCCGCCCGCCCCGACACGGAGAGCGCUUCCCUUCCCCCUGCUCGGGGCCGACCCUGAGCGCCCGGAACUC